UACAGAGGGUGCAAGCGUUGUUCGGAAUUACUGGGCGUAAAGCGCGUGUAGGCGGCUUAUCAAGUCCUGUGUGAAAGCCCUGGGCUCAACCCAGGAAGUGCGCAGGAUACUGAUGAGCUGGAGUGGCGGAGAGGAUGGCGGAAUUCCCGGUGUAGAGGUGAAAUUCGUAGAUAUCGGGAGGAACACCUGUGGCGAAGGCGGCAUCCUGGACCGGCAUUGACGCUGAGGAGCGAAAGCCAGGGGAGCAAACGGG
rnacentral:rRNA from 1 species